rnacentral:rRNA from 1 species
UACAGAGGGUGCAAACGUUGCUCGGAAUUAUUGGGCGUAAAGCGCGUGUAGGCGGCUUGUUAAGUUGGUUGUGAAAACCCAUGGCUCAACCAUGGAAGGGCGUCCAAAACUGGCAAGCUAGAGUCCCGACGAGGAUGGCGGAAUUCCCAGUGUAGAGGUGAAAUUCGUAGAUAUUGGGAGGAACACCGGUGGCGAAGGCGGCCAUCUGGGAGGGCACUGACGCUGAGACGCGAAAGCGUGGGGAGCGAACAGG